GGCGGUGUGGUGAAAUUGGUAUACACGACGGAUUCAAAAUCCGUUGCCUUUGCGGGCGUGGCGGUUCGAGUCCGCCCACCGCUACCA
rnacentral:tRNA from 1 species